UGGAGGAGUAGCGAAGUCUGGUUAAACGCGACGGUCUGUAAAACCGUUCCUUCGGGUUCGGCGGUUCGAAUCCACCCUCCUCCAUC
rnacentral:tRNA from 3 species